rnacentral:rRNA from 1 species
UACGUAGGUGGCAAGCGUUGUCCGGAUUUACUGGGCGUAAAGGGCGUGCAGGCGGUUUGUUUAGUCUAGGGUGAAAGCUCCCGGCUUAACUGGGAGAGGUCCUUGGAUACUGGCAAACUAGAGGGAGGCAGAGGAAAGUGGAAUUCCCGGUGUAGUGGUGAUAUGCGUAGAUAUCGGGAGGAACACCAGUGGCGAAGGCGGCUUUCUGGGCCUUACCUGACGCUGAGACGCGAAAGCGUGGGGAGCGAACCGG